AUUAAACUGCAGACCCAUACCAAGACUGGUGAUAGAUAUGUAGAUUGACGCAUGCUGACUGGGGACUAUGGGUAUGGAAAACCAUUUUGCAGUAAUUAGGAAUGUGCAGCUGAAGAUGGUCAAAGAUCAAAGGCCAAGACUGAUGUCAGCUUGAAAGAAACCACUCUGUGUAUUGGAUUUGCAAGAUAAAAGAUGAUGAAUUAAUUAAUGCACCAGUUUCAAGUCCAAAGGUCAGUACAGUAAAACACCGUUAAUGUGAACAUGCUUACAAUGAAUUGAUGCUUAU